rnacentral:lncRNA from 1 species
AUGUAUGUUAAAAGAAAUCGCAAACCAACAAGCAGUUCUUUACUAACUGAUAAAGUUAAUAAAAGAAAAAAAAUUGAAGAACAACUUGUAAUGAUUGUCGAUGCACCUAAGAAACUAGAAAUUAAAAACCGCUAUUGCAAAAGCUUGUAACUAAAUGACCAAGACUUAUUAUCAGGAAAUAAUUUCAUUGGCGAACAUAUAGUCGAUUGAUUUCCCAUAUCCCCUACAACUUGUUCCGAAUGAACUCAGCAAAUGGACCUAAUUCUGAACAGUGAAUGAACAAAUCAGAUUUGUACAGACAUACUUCUGUUCAGCAAAUGAACUAAUUUAACCAGAUGAACUUGUAAUUUUUGUGCAAAUCAGUUCUGCAAAAACAAACCCCUGUGAAUGAAGAAUCUCAAAUUCUUGCAAAUGAACGAUCUAUACGAAUCAGAAACAAACUAAUUCGUGAAUGCGGAUUGACUGAUCAAUUAAUCUGAUUCGUGAUUAUGUAUGAGUGCACAGAUCUGUGAUAACCAAGACCCUUGAUUUGUAAAUGUAAUCAAAACUAAUUUGUGAAUAAUAUGCGCAAACAAACAUCACCGUAACACAAUCAAUUGCAAAUCGAUGUAGACAAACUGAAACGAUGCAACCUGCAGACUUGUGGAUUCGUGUUGGAUCUGAGUUUGAUUUUGAUUGUAUUUUAUGUAAAUAAGAUGAAGAUGGAUGAGUGUGCAGCGGAAAUUAAGAUGAACACAAACUUUGCAUACAAUC